UCCACGUGUAGCGGUGAAAUGCGUAGAGAUGCGGAGGAACACCAGUGGCUUUUGCUACUCUCUGGUCUGUAACUGACGCUGAGGAGCGAAAGCGUGGGGAGCGAACACGAUUAGAUACCCUGGUAGUCCACGCCGUAAACGAUGAGUGCUAAGUGUUCCGGGGUUUCCGCCCCUUAGUGCUGCAGCUAACGCCUUAAGCACUCCGCCUGGGGAGUACGGUCGCAAGAAUGAAACUCAAAGGACUUGACGGGGGCCCGCACAAGCUGUGUAGCAUGUGGUUUAAUUCGAAGCAUCGCGAAGAACCUUACCAGGUCUUGACAUCCUCUGACAAUCCUAUAGAUAGGACGUCCCCUUCGGGGGCAGAGUGACAGGUGGUGCAUGGUUGUCGUCAGCUCGUGUCGUGAGAUGUUGGGUUAAGUCCCGCUACGAGCGCAACCCUUGAUCUUAGUUGCCAGCAUUCAGUUGGGCACUCUAAGGUGACUGCCGGUGACAAAC
rnacentral:rRNA from 1 species